GACGAACGCUGGCGGCGUGCCUAAUACAUGCAAGUCGAACGCUUCUUUUCCCACCGGAGCUUGCUCCACCGGGAAAAGAGGAGUGGCGAACGGGUGAGUAACACGUGGGUAACCUGCCCAUCAGAAGGGGAUAACACUUGGAAACAGGUGCUAAUACCGUAUAACAAUCGAAACCGCAUGGUUUCGUUUUGAAAGGCGCUUUACGGUGCCGCUGAUGGAUGGACCCGCGGUGCAUUAGCUAGUUGGUGAGGUAACGGCUCACCAAGGCCACGAUGCAUAGCCGACCUGAGAGGGUGAUCGGCCACAUUGGGACUGAGACACGGCCCAACUCCUACGGGAGGCAGCAGUAGGGAAUCUUCGGCAAUGGACGAAAGUCUGACCGAGCAACGCCGCGUGAGUGAAGAAGGUUUUCGGAUCGUAAAACUCUGUUGUUAGAGAAGAACGAGGGUGAGAGUAACUGUUCACCCCUUGACGGUAUCUAACCAGAAAGCCACGGCUAACUACGUGCCAGCCGCCGCAGUAA
rnacentral:rRNA from 1 species